UUUACCAUUUUCACUUUCUCUUGUUUGUUGUCAUCUCAAUCUCAGACAACACAAGAGAAAUCAAAAGGAUCAGUUGGGGAAGAUAUACAUACUAUAUAUACCUAUACAUAUAUAUUGUUUUGGGUAUCAAUUCUUGAUCCAUUUUUUGCACAAAUUUCUGUCCCUGUUUAACAAUUUUGAGUGAAAAUGUCAAAAGAAAUUGAAAUGGGUGUUGAUCACACCGAACCCGAAG
rnacentral:misc_RNA from 1 species